rnacentral:lncRNA from 1 species
GCAAGAUGUCGUCUCAUGAAGAGCGCCUUGUGCUUGAACUUCACUCCAGAUGGGGAAAUAGGUAUGGUGGAACAAAUUUAACUCCAUGUAAUUCAAAGUGAUAUAUGACCUCCACUUCAGUGACCACUUUGAUAUUUAACCUGUUCUAAUACAGACUAGGUUCUAGUGAUCUGGAGAUGGUUUGCAGAGCUUUGAUAUUUAACCUGUUCUAAUACAGACUAGUUUCUAGUGAUCUGGAGAUGGUUUGCAGAGUUUGAAGUCUAAAACUUUGUAAUAAAACAUGAAAUAUCUGGGGGAAAUUAAUUAAGUUAUACUAUAUUGUUAAUUAUUUUUUGAUGUUGUGUGAUAAGUUUUAUGUAUGUUUGUUUGAAUGAAGAUGG